UCGCUGCGUGUGUUUCUUGUGGGUUUUUUUCAGCCUGUUCUUCACUCACACUCUCGCUCAGCAGAGAUUCAAAGGUGGAGAGCAAAGAUUGUCACCCGGAAUAAAGGGGGGAAGGGAAACAGGUUUUCUUCCUCUCUCACCAAGAAAGAGACACAAACAAGGCAAAAGAUGGAGAGGAUGCAGGCAAAGGAAGAGGGGGACCACCUGGAGCGACCAAGCCCACUGACUGAUAAGGAGAGGGUGAUGAUCCAGGACUCCUGGGCAAAAGUCUACCAGAACUGUGAAGACGUUGGGGUGGCCAUACUAAUCAGGCUGUUUGUGAACUUUCCCUCAUCCAAGCAGUACUUCAGCCAGUUCAAGAACAUCGAGGACCCGGAGGAGCUGGAGAGGAGUGCCCAGCUCAAGAAGCAUGCUCACAGAGUCAUGAAUGCCCUGAAUACAGUGGUGGAGAGCCUGGACAACUCAGACAAGGUGGCCUCAGUGCUGAAGGUGGUGGGCAAGGCACAUGCACUCCGACACAAGGUGGAGCCUGUAUACUUUAAGAUCCUGAGUGGCGUGAUACUGGAGGUCCUAGGAGAAGAGUUUUCCGAGGUUAUGACACCAGAGGUGGCCGCUGCGUGGACCAAACUCUUCGCUACGGUCUACUUCAGCAUCACAGCCAUCUAUGAGGAAGUGGGCUGGACGAAGCUCUCAACCUCAACCGGGUGAAGCUUUUAGUAUGGGUUUAUUGGACGGUGAACUCACAGAUACUUCUGUGUGGGCCACGGCCUCAUAAGAGAGGGGGACUUUGACUGUACUGACCUUUGAAGGGAACCAAUGUAUCUGGGGAAUACAGUUUCAUGUAAUCUGAUUGUGGGCUGUAUGACAUAAUAUACUUUAAAUAAGAACAGGAAUUGGGUUCUUUUAUGGCUAAUACUGUGUGUGUGUGUGUGUGUGUGUGUGUGUGUGUGUGUGUGUGUGUGUUAGAGAGAGAGAGAGAGAGAGGUUAAACCUCUCUCCUUGUUUUUAUACUCAUUUUUAAAAGGAGAGAGCAAAGAUGAAGAAAAUGCUAACUUUAACCCAACAAUGGACAAGAGGUCACAUUUGACUUGGACGUGCCUUCUACUGAAUGUGUAUCUAAUAAAACUGCCAUGCAAAUACUGUUCUUUCUUAAUAUCAUGUGGCAUUUGCUUUUAUCAGUCUGUGCCCACAUGGCGCUGUUCACUAGAUAUAGACAGAGAUAUUAAGAAGACAUGUUUACAUUUUGAACAGUUAAUUGUGAUGAUUGUACAUUUUUUUCAUCAUGACUCACCUUUGUAUUCAACAGAAUUUUGAAAUA